GUGGGUAUAACUCAGUGGUAGAGCGUGUGCUUAGCAUGCACCAGGUCCUGGGUUCAAUCCCCAAUAACUGCA
rnacentral:tRNA from 1 species